rnacentral:lncRNA from 1 species
ACUAAAAGAAACACUCAGCAAAACAAAGAAAGUUCCUAGAGUACCGUCCAGGCCUAGCUAAUGUUUCAUGAGGAUAAUAGAAGGCAUCAUUUGUUUUCAGAGCAUAAUUUUAUUAUAUCUUAAUGCAAGAAAAGGUGGUGCCAGAGUUACUGACCUCCAGCUUUUCACAUCCUGGGAGGAGAUUGCUCUCAAAGGUACACUCAUCUUAACCAAACUCAAGACAGCGAUGUCUAGGACAAGAAAGCUGACAUGCUGAUUUGUGCUCAAACCAGAGUUGAGCUGGCUCCAAGAGCGUCUGGUCUCCAGGAUCUGCAUGGCCUUUGGAAACCAAAGCUCAAUCCCAGGGGCUCAGGGCCAGAGAAUCAAGCAAACAUGCUGGUUACAGAAACUGAAAUUGCGAUCAAGUUCAACUCACAAAGGGGAAGCCGAUUGUGAAGUUCAAAGGAGAUCCUUAUAGCUUCCAAGGCUGGACCACGGUCUGAGACAGAGGAGAGAAUCAGCAGAUGGAACAGGUCAAUAAAGCAAUGGACUGGAAUGUUCAGGAUUCCUCUGGUUGUUCUAUGUGAUUUCCCAUGGCUGUCUCACCCCUCAAAGCUGUUGGCAAGGUGCCCGGCCUGCGAACUGCACUCAGAUACAUGUUAACAAAUGGUCACGGCAGUGCAGAAAGAAGAAUGGAGUGGAGUGGACAGCCCUGCAGUGGCUAAAUGCUUUUGUUAGAAUGCAAGUGUCUGUAGCCACAGAUGAUCAGCUUUCUCCCAUCACCAAGAUGGCCUGUGCAAGCCUUGGCUUCCC